AUUUGCUCCGGCAGAACAUAAACUAAAAUUGGAACGAUAUAGAGAUGAUUAGCAUGGUCCCUGCGCAAGGAUGACACGCGAAACCGUGAAGUAUCCCACAGUUUU